GCUGGAGUGCAGCGGCGCCAUCUCGGCUCACCGCAACUCUGCCUCCUGGGUUCAAGCGAUGCUUCUGCCUCAGCCUCCUGAGUAGCUGGGAUUACAGAUCUGCUCACUUUAGCACUCUGGCAAUUAAACAGAACCCCCUUCUGGCAGAAGCUUAUUCGAAUUUGGGGAAUGUGUACAAGGAAAGAGGGCAGUUGCAGGAGGCAAUUGAGCAUUAUCGACAUGCAUUGCGUCUCAAACCUGAUUUCAUCGAUGGUUAUAUUAACCUGGCAGCCGCCUUGGUAGCAGCGGGUGACAUGGAAGGGGCAGUACAAGCUUACGUCUCUGCUCUUCAGUACAAUCCUGAUUUGUACUGUGUUCGCAGUGACCUGGGGAACCUGCUCAAAGCCCUGGGUCGCUUGGAAGAAGCCAAGGCAUGUUAUUUGAAAGCAAUUGAGACGCAACCGAACUUUGCAGUAGCUUGGAGUAAUCUUGGCUGUGUUUUCAAUGCACAAGGGGAAAUUUGGCUUGCGAUUCAUCACUUUGAAAAGGCUGUCACCCUUGACCCAAACUUUCUGGAUGCUUAUAUCAAUUUAGGAAAUGUCUUGAAAGAGGCACGCAUUUUUGACAGAGCUGUGGCAGCUUAUCUUCGUGCC
rnacentral:sRNA from 1 species